GAUGAACGCUAGCGGCAGGCCUAAUACAUGCAAGUCGGACGGGAUCCAUUGAUAGCUUGCUAUCAAUGGUGAGAGUGGCGCACGGGUGCGUAACGCGUGAGCAACCUGCCUCCAUCAGGGGGAUAGCCUCUCGAAAGAGAGAUUAACACCGCAUAAUAUCAACAGUUCGCAUGUUCAGUUGAUUAAAUAUUUAUAGGAUGGAGAUGGGCUCGCGUGACAUUAGCUAGUUGGUAGGGUAACGGCUUACCAAGGCGACGAUGUCUAGGGGCUCUGAGGAGAAUCCCCCACACUGGUACUGAGACACGGACCAGACUCCUACGGGAGGCAGCAGUAAGGAAUAUUGGUCAAUGGGCGGAAGCCUGAACCAGCCAGGCCGCGUGCAGGAUGACUGCCCUAUGGGUUGUAAACUGCUUUUGUCCAGGAAUAAACCUAAAUACGAGUAUUUAGCUGAAUGUACUGGAAGAAUAAGGAUCGGCUAACUCCGU
rnacentral:rRNA from 1 species